UCGGAUCGUUUUAGAAACAUCAGUGGCCAACAGAUCGCCAGAUCGUUGAGCUGCAUUGGCGGGAUUUCGCCGUCUUCGUUUCUCUUUCUUCGCGGACGAACACGCGCCGGGGCUGCGCUGUGCGAUUGCAUCUGCGCUGGUCGCGGAUGCAUGCACGCAAGACCCUAGUCCUGAUAAGGAUAGCGUUAGGGGCUUGUAGCUCAGUUGGUUAGAGCGCGCGCUUGAUAAGCGUGAGGUCGGAAGUUCAAGUCUUCCCAGGCCCACCACGCUUCGCCGUUGGCUUUGCGUGGCGCUGCCAUGCAAGACGAUGAAGCGAAGCGUGUCCGGCAUAGCCCGAAGGGCGACGCCGGACUUAGAGAGGCGCUUCGUCUUCUGGUUACGGGGCCAUAGCUCAGCUGGGAGAGCGCGUGCUUUGCAAGCAUGAGGUCGUCGGUUCGAUCCCGUCUGGCUCCACCAGAUGGUUUGAUCACCGAGAUCUUGCACCGUCGUCCGCGAAACAUCACUUCGCAUUCACUAGUCUGGAUAGACAGUGAACUGCGUGUUUUCUGACAUCGUAAAGAGGAGAUCGAUCCGAGUUGGGUCGUGCAGCAUAUCGUUGCGCGAGCCUUCAUUAUCUCCGGAUCAUUUUCGGCGCUCGCGUCUGACCGCAAGGUUGGCUGCGAGUUGUAAAAUGAUCCUUUUAGCGAAGCUUGACCGCCUCGCUAUCGGAACGAUCUUACGAAGCAAGCUGGUCUUUCUAGUCAAUGUCCGGCUGUACGUAGCAUUCAUCGAGGGUGCGCGCCGCAAGGGCAAUCGUACAGACAACAUUCUGCCGAGUGUGUGGACAUUGAUAAUGAGAGCAAUCAAGUGCCUUAAGGGUGUUCGGUGGAUGCCUUGGCGCUGAGAGGCGAUGAAAGGACGUGCUACGCUGCGAUAAGCCGUGGGGAGCUGCGAAGAAGCUUU
rnacentral:misc_RNA from 1 species